GAUGAACGCUGGCGGCGUGCCUAAUACAUGCAAGUCGAGCGAACAGAUGAGGAGCUUGCUCCUCUGACGUUAGCGGCGGACGGGUGAGUAACACGUGGAUAACCUACCUAUAAGACUGGGAUAACUUCGGGAAACCGGAGCUAAUACCGGAUAAUAUAAUGAACCGCAUGGUUCAAUAGUGAAAGACGGUUUUGCUGUCACUUAUAGAUGGAUCCGCGCCGCAUUAGCUAGUUGGUAAGGUAACGGCUUACCAAGGCAACGAUGCGUAGCCGACCUGAGAGGGUGAUCGGCCACACUGGAACUGAGACACGGUCCAGACUCCUACGGGAGGCAGCAGUAGGGAAUCUUCCGCAAAGGGCGAAAGCCUGACGGAGCAACGCCGCGUGAGUGAUGAAGGUCUUCGGAUCGUAAAACUCUGUUAUUAGGGAAGAACAAAUGUGUAAGUAACUAUGCACGUCUUGACGGUACCUAAUCAGAAAGCCACGGCUAACUACGUG
rnacentral:rRNA from 1 species